CUACACAUGCAGUCGAGCGGUAACAGGAAGAAAGCUUGCUUUCUUUGCUGACGAGCGGCGGACGGGUGAGUAAUGCCUAGGGAUCUGCCCAGUCGAGGGGGAUAACAGUUGGAAACGACUGCUAAUACCGCAUACGCCCUACGGGGGAAAGGAGGGGACCUUCGGGCCUUUCGCGAUUGGAUGAACCUAGGUGGGAUUAGCUAGUUGGUAAGGUAAUGGCUUACCAAGGCGACGAUCCCUAGCUGUUCUGAGAGGAUGAUCAGCCACACUGGGACUGAGACACGGCCCAGACUCCUACGGGAGGCAGCAGUGGGGAAUAUUGCACAAUGGGGGAAACCCUGAUGCAGCCAUGCCGCGUGUGUGAAGAAGGCCUUAGGGUUGUAAAGCACUUUCAGUAGGGAGGAAAGGUAAUGGCUUAAUACGCUAUUGCUGUGACGUUACCUACAGAAGAAGGACCGGCUAACUUCGUGCCAGCAGCCGCGGUAAUACGAGGGGUCCAAGCGUUAAUCGGAAUUACUGGGCGUAAAGCGUACGCAGGCGGUUCAUUAAGCCAGAUGUGAAAUCCCCGGGCUCAACCUGGGAAUUGCAUUUGGAACUGGUGAACUAGAGUCUUGUAGAGGGGGGUAGAAUUUCAGGUGUAGCGGUGAAAUGCGUAGAGAUCUGAAGGAAUACCGGUGGCGAAGGCGGCCCCCUGGACAAA
rnacentral:rRNA from 1 species